GGGAAUGUGGCUCAGUGGUGAGAGUGCUUGCCUUGCACGCAAAAGGCCCUAUGUUCAAUUCCUCAUCACCA
rnacentral:tRNA from 1 species